rnacentral:lncRNA from 1 species
UAUGAAAUCAUGUCCAUGAAAGAAGAAGAGAGAUAUGGAGGGGAAAGCAAUGAGGCUUCGAGAAGGUCCUCCACGCCUAUGUGCAGAUCACGCAUUGCCUCCAACAGCAAUUUAUGUGUUCAACCACAAUAGAGGAAAAAGCUUUGCUAUCUUUAUACUCUUAGCCAUUACUCAAAUGGAACAGAGAGCUUUUAGUGGCAGAGCUCUUAUAUUUAGGAUUUUGGUUCUAUAUUUAGUAACUUGCAGCAAAGUAAGUUAAGGACU